rnacentral:rRNA from 1 species
AUUGAACGCUGGCGGCAUGCCUUACACAUGCAAGUCGAACGGCAGCACGGACUUCGGUCUGGUGGCGAGUGGCGAACGGGUGAGUAAUAUAUCGGAACAUACCUUGUAGUGGGGGAUAACUAUCCGAAAGGAUAGCUAAUACCGCAUACGCUCUAAGGAGGAAAGUGGGGGAUCGCAAGACCUCAUGCUAUAAGAGUGGCCGAUAUCUGAUUAGCUAGUUGGUGAGGUAAAGGCUCACCAAGGCGACGAUCAGUAGCUGGUCUGAGAGGACGAACAGCCACACUGGAACUGAGACACGGUCCAGACUCCUACGGGAGGCAGCAGUGGGGAAUUUUGGACAAUGGGGGCAACCCUGAUCCAGCAAUGCCGCGUGAGUGAAGAAGGCCUUCGGGUUGCAAAGCUCUUUUGUCAGGGAAGAAACGGUUGUGGCUAAUAUCCAUGGCUAAUGACGGUACCUGGAGAAUAAGCACCGGCUAACUACGUGCCAGCAGCCGCAGUAA